GAGGGAGACGGUAGUGGCCGAUGCCGUCACUGACGACGGCGAUGGCGACAUCCACUCUCCGCUGGCUAUGUUAUCCAAACUACCACUGAUACGAUGAAGGUGAAUAUGAUAGGAAAAAGAUAGGUGGGGAAGAAUCAUAAGUGAGGGUAUAUUUUGCCGUGUGUGUGUGAAUUCAAGGUGUGAAAAUGGUUAACUAUACAAAGAUUAAACAAUAACAAUAAUAACAUUUCUCGAUCAGGUGGCAAAAUGAAUGCAAAUUUGAAUUUGU
rnacentral:lncRNA from 1 species